AGCAGCCGCGGUAAUUCCAGCUCCAAUAGCGUAUAUUAAAGUUGCUGCAGUUAAAAAGCUCGUAGUUGAAUUUCGGGACCAUCAUGUCGGUCGUGCCUCGGUACGUACUGGCAUUGUUGGUUUCUCCCUUCUGACGAACCAUGAUGUCAUUAAUUUGGUGUCUUGGGGAAUCAGGACUGUUACUUUGAAAAAAUUAGAGUGUUUAAAGCAGGCUCACGCUUGAAUACAUUAGCAUGGAAUAAUGAAAUAGGACGUUUGAUUCUAUUUUGUUGGUUUCUAGGAUCGACGUAAUGAUUAAUAGGGAUAGUUGGGGGCAUUAGUAUUCAAUUGUCAGAGGUGAAAUUCUUGGAUUUAUUGAAGACUAACUACUGCGAAAGCAUUUGCCAAGGAUGUUUUCAUUAAUCAAGAACGAAAGUUAGGGGAUCGAAGACGAUCAGAUACCGUCGUAGUCUUAACCAUAAACUAUGCCGACUAGGGAUCGGAUGAUGUUAAUUUUUUAAUGACUCAUUCGGCGCCUUACG
rnacentral:rRNA from 1 species